CCUUGAUACAAUCCGUACUCACUCAGUUACUCUAUGCAUGUCUUCAAAUAUAUUACACUUUUUUCCUCUUCAAAUGUUUCUGUUUAUGGUUCUUUUUCUUGCUUUGUUUUUUCAUCUUCUUUGCUUUUCUUCCUCGUACCUUCUCUUUAUCUCUUUGCAUUUUUGCUGCUUCGAGUUGAGUGUAUUGCCCUGUGCUUUUUCUGGACCGAAUUGUCCCUCCUCAGAGGUGAAGAAAAUGAUUCUCACUAAGCAGUAUCGAUGUGUACAUUCAGCAAGCUGUCAAUGCACCAAGGGACAUUUAAGUGAAGAUGUGAUAUUCUUGGUGUUUCAGCAUUUGAAUUGGAACCCCAAUCUAAUUGCUACACUGUCGUGUGCAUGCAAAUGGUUUGAUGAUAUUGCAAAGAGAGUUUUAUGGAAAGAGUUCUGCAGAACAAGAGCUCCUAAGAUGAUGCUUGAUCUGCAAUCCAGUGGAAGUCACAGUGCAGAUGGGAACUGGAGGGCUCUGGGGAAGCUUCUCAUAUUCUGUUCUGGUUGCACACAAGGUGGUUUGUUCGAUAAUGUUGAGGUUCCUGGUCAUUUUGUUAACAAGACUCGGUUUUCUAAAACACUAGGAAAGAGCUUUCUCAUGCCACAGUGUCUGAAUGAUGUUUUGUAUGUGUCUGAGCCUUGUGAGCAUAUUGAUCAAGGUGAAGCUGGUGAUUUAGGAUUCUUCCGAGGAAUUUUCAAGUCGUUUGCAUCAUCAAACGUUAAGAAGAUGAUAGUUAACAGAGGUGCACAGCUCCAUCCAACCGAGAUUUGCCCCUAUUGUAAGGCUAAGUUGUGGAGUAUGCUACAGGCCAAUAUGAUUCCACAAACUGCUAAGUGCAGGUUGGGUUCCAAUAAAGAUUAUAUUGAGUAUUAUGUCUGCCUAAAUGGUCACUUGCUUGGGGUCUGCACAUUGUUACCACUGUCUGAUUCAGAGGAUGUAUCUGAAAAUGAGUAAGAUAUCAAUGAUUCUCAGUUGUUAUUCAAUCUUAACAUGAAAUUUCGCUGAGCGCAGUGCUGUUUGCUCAAGGGUGAAAUUGUGCUCAGCAACAGCUAUAAGUCUCAUUUUGAUUCAAACCUCUACAUUGCAUUAUGCUUCAUGCUGCUGUCUCAACUCAUGCCAGCAUUUUCCACUGAUUAUAAAUAUCGCCAACAUUAUUUUUAAUAAAUCAAAUAGAAGAUUCAUUUGAAGAGAAUUUUUGUGCUCCACUCUUCGAAGUCCACCUGUGAGUAAAAGAGUAUACUAAAAAAGUUGUGCUCUUAGUCCACAUACUUUCAGUCAAACAUGGACAACAUCUCUAUGUUUUUUUUUUCAGACAAGAACAGAGUCUUUGUAUUAUUAUACUGAUAAAUUUAACUAUGAAAUUAACUGAAAUCAGAAAAUAAAAAUAAUAGAAAAGUAUAAAAUUAUAAAUCAAUAAUUAAAGAAGGUAAGAAAGUGAGAUAUAACGUAUUUUUCACUCGACACAUUUCACCUAAAAUCAUGAAAACUUUUAACAUGACAAUGACUGCAUGGACAUAGUUGAAACUGCACUGAAUCUGUCAAAUAAAACUAAUUUUACGUACCGAUUCUGAUCAAUGCCCAUUUUAUCAAACAUUAUGCCAUAAAUAUACGCAUCUGACAUUAAUGUUACCAAUUACAGG